AUUGUUGCAGUUAAAACGCUCGUAGUUGAAUUUCAAAGAGUCAUGGCGUUUCUGAGGUGCUACGCUUGGUUGAUCGCCCAGCACUGACCAUCUAUGAUUUUAUUGUAGAACAGUGAGCCUGGGUGUUUAGCUCCAAGAAAGUUGUCUCCUUUACAAAGUGAUUUUUCUAAGGGUCUCUUGAGUACCAGUCCUUGGGAGGUUCUUUUUACCUUGAGUAAAUUAGAGUGUUUAAAGCAAACAGAUACAACAGUUUACUGUGUUUAAAUACUACAGCAUGGAAUAAUAAUAUCGAAUGAGCCGACGUACUUUUCGUUUCUUUGUUAUUUUGGCUUAGUUACGAUUAACAGGAAUAGUUGGGGGCAUUUGUAUUCAGAUGUUAGAGGUGAAAUUCUAAGAUUAUCUGGAGACGAACAAUUGCGAAAGCAUCUGUCUAACAUAUUUUCAUUAAUCAAGAACGAAAGUUAAGGGAGUGAAGACGAUCAGAUACCGUCGUAAUCUUAACCAUAAACUAUGCCAACUAUGUUUUGGAUGUAUGAGAAAAAGGUGGAAUACUUUGUUUUACGACAUUGUCAUUCCAUUUAUGCUUCAUUCAGUACCUUAGAGAAAUCAAAGUCUUUGGGUUCUGGGGCGAGUAUUCGCGCAAGCGAGAAAGUUAAAAGAAUUGACGGAAGGGCACCACCAGGCGUGGAGCUUGCGGCUUAAUUUGACUCAACACGGGAAAACUUACUAGUAUAAGACAAGAGUAGGAUUGACAGAUUAAUAGCUCUUUCUUGAUUUCUUGGAUGGUGAUGCAUGGCCGUUUUUAGUUCGUGAAUAUGAUUUGUCUGGUUAAUUCCGAUAACGAACGAGACCUUAACCUGCUAGUUAGCGGCCGGUAUGUCGCGAAUUUAUCAAAAUCUUAUCUCGUAGGCUGGAUUAUUUUUAGAAGAUAUGACGGAUAACCGAGUCGAGUGUCGUCCCCAUCACUGUUCUAUUAAUUCGCAGUCUGUCCUGGUUUUUUUUUGGUAAGUAUGUAUCCGCUUGAAUGUAAGCUUCUUAGAGGUACGAUGUGUGCU
rnacentral:rRNA from 1 species